UGUGGGUAGGUAUAAAAGAGGCUGAGUGUAGUGGUAUAUGUCGUUAGUCUCAGCAUUUGAAAUGCUAAGCAGAUAGGCCAGCAUUGUCUCCAAAACUUGUUGGCCAGGACUACAUGGUGAAACCCUGUCUCAAACAAAAACAAAAAACUAACCAAACCUAAAUAUAUUCAGGACUAAGAGUGUCCUGGUACCAGCUCCUACAUUUUCUUUUCAGACAAAUUAAUUUUCUGUAAGGAUUCACUAUCACACUUGGAAUCACUCCUCUCACCCAAAAAAUGGAUUCUGAAUUCAUGUGCAGUCUAUCUGGAAACUAUCUGAAGCCUCCAGGUGAGUCAUCUUGGGAGUCGCCACCCUGUGAACUUAGAAACCAACUCUCCAGAUGCUUUAUGACCCAAGUGAGCCAAUGUCUAUUUUAACCUUAAACUCUUCAAGGAAAGAUUCCAUGUUUAGAGCUGGGGAUAACACAAGUAGAAGAUUACCUGAAAUAUUCUUUACAGAGAAACAGCACUAGAGGAAGCAAAACAAAACAACAUUUUGGGUUUAAAAAAUGGAGAUCCCGUGUCUGUCUUGCUUCAACAGUGAACGGAGCAGACCCGGGGCCUCCCUUUGUUAGUGUCCAGCUUCAUCCCAGUGUCACCAGUUGCAGCCUCUGGGACCAUCUCCUCGCCGCCUUCGGCUCCCAGGACCAGCCAGCACUGUCUCUUUGCGGUUAGCUCCAUACUGCGUAUCAGCCAUGAGCUCCCAGGUCCAUCAGAAUUAUUCCACCGAAGUGGAGGCUGCAGUGAACCGCCUGGUCAACUUGCACCUGCGGGCCUCCUACACCUACCUCUCUCUCUUUGGGCUACUAUUUUGACCGGGAUGAUGUGGCUCUGGAGGGUGUCGACCACUUCCGCAAAUUGGCCGAUGAGAAGCGUGAGGGCGCCGGUCAGCUGCUCAAGAUGCAGAACCAACGCGGAGGCUGCGCACUAUUCCAGGAUGUGCAGAAGCCAGAUGAGUGAGGUAAAUCCCAGGAGGCCAUGGAAGCUGCCUUGGUCCUGGAGAAGAGCCUGAACCAGGCCCUCUUGGUUCUUCAUGCCCUGGCUUCUGCUCGCACAGAUCCUCACCUCUGUGACUUCCUGGAAAACCACUUCCUGGAUGAGGAGGUGAAGCUCAUCAAGAAGAUGGGCAACCACCUGACCAGCCUCCACAGGGUGGCUGGGCCGCAGCCAGCACAAACUGGUGUGCCCUCGCCAUCUCUGGGUGAGUACCUCUUCGAGAGGCUCACUCUCAAGCAUGACUAGGAGGCGUCACCUUCCAAGGGGCUCCCUCCUCUGCUCUGCACCAGCCAGCCUCAGGACCUUCACCCAAACUGCUAGGCAGCUUUGUUAACUGCUCUGGAGCCCCUCCCAAGUCUCAGGACCAAGUGAAAAUAAAGCAUUUUGAAACAGCA